GGCUUGGACGAUUGAACCUUUGUGAUCUGAUCUCAAAUCAGGUAGGAAUACCCGCUGAACUUAAGCAUAUCAAUAAGCGGAGGAAAAGAAACUAACAAGGAUUCCCCUAGUAACGGCGAGUGAAGCGGGAAGAGCUCAAAUUUAAAAUCUGGCAGUGUAUUCUGUCCGAGUUGUAGUCUAGAGAAGCGUC
rnacentral:rRNA from 1 species